GACGAACGCUGGCGGUGUGCUUAACACAUGCAAGUCGAACGGUAAGGCCCUUUCGGGGGUCCACGAGUGGCGAACGGGUGAGUAACACGUGAGUAACCUGCCCUCAUCUCUGGGAUAACAGUCGGAAACGGUUGCUAAUACUGGAUAUGAGCUUGCAAGGCAUCUUGUGGGUUGGAAAGAUUUUUUUGGUUGGGGAUGGACUCGCGGCCUAUCAGCUUGUUGGUGAGGUAGUGGCUCACCAAGGCUUCGACGGGUAGCCGGCCUGAGAGGGCGACCGGCCACAUUGGGACUGAGAUACGGCCCAAACUCCUACGGGAGGCAGCAGUGGGGAAUAUUGCACAAUGGACGGAAGUCUGAUGCAGCAACGCCGCGGGCGGGAUGACGGCCUUCGGGUUGUAAACCGCUUUCAAUUGUGACGAAGCUUUUUGUGACGGUAGCAGUAGAAGAAGCACCGGCUAACUACGUG
rnacentral:rRNA from 1 species